rnacentral:tRNA from 1 species
GGGGGUAUAACUCAAUGGUAGAGUGUAUGCUUUGCAAGCAUAAAGUUAUCGGUUCAAGUCCGAUUACCUCCA